rnacentral:rRNA from 1 species
GAUGAACGCUGGCGGCGUGCCUAAUACAUGCAAGUCGAGCGAACGGACGAGAAGCUUGCUUCUCUGAUGUUAGCGGCGGACGGGUGAGUAACACGUGGAUAACCUACCUAUAAGACUGGGAUAACUUCGGGAAACCGGAGCUAAUACCGGAUAAUAUUUUGAACCGCAUGGUUCAAAAGUAAAAGACGGUCUUGCUGUCACUUAUAGAUGGAUCCGCCCUGCAUUAGCUAGUUGGUAAGGUAACGGCUUACCAAGGCAACGAUGCAUAGCCGACCUGAGAGGGUGAUCGGCCACACUGUGACUUAGGCACGGUCCAGACUCCUACGGGAGGCAGCAGUAGGGAAUCUUCCGCAAUGGGCGAAAGCCUGACGGAGCAACGCCGCGUGAGUGAUGAAGGUCUUCGGAUCGUAAAACUCUGUUAUUAGGGAAGAACAUAUGUGUAAGUAACUGUGCACAUCUUGACGGUACCUAAUCAGAAAGCCACGGCUAACUACGUG